UAUUUGUAUGGUUUGUUAUUCUGCAUGAGUAUAUGAGAAGGGACUGAAGGGAGGGAGAGGUAUUCUGGAAUUUUGUAGAACUGGAGCAUUUUGUAUGGAGGUUGGGAACCCUCGAAGAUUCCCGUAGCAAUACACUUGUGAUAUUCUCUUCUACCUUUUAUCAAACAUCUUGCAUGCACUCUGAGUCCCCAUUGCAGCAGCUCUUCUGCGUUUACACCAUCCAUUUUCCUUGAUACAAACAGCCAACCAACAAGAUUCAUAACAUUAGUUCCCCCGCAAAGCACAGCUUCAUCUUCGACCUCAAGCUUGACGGAAGCCCUCAAUCCCCAAGCAUGUGAAGCUUCCAAUCUGCCCCCGACCCCAAGCACAACAGUUGUUUUCAACUUCAGCCCAAUGAAAGCCCUCAGUCCCCAAGCAGCGAAGCCUGCCCCUCAACCCCCCCACGCACGUCUUCUUUGUGAUUUCUUGGUUUUGUGUUGCCAAUUGAUGUUUAUAGCAAGAUGAAGGAACCAGAGAUGGGGAUCCUUUCCAAUGAUUCAAAGAGCCAAAUGGCAAUUUUCUGAUCUCAUUAUUUCUAGGCACCUGCUCAUCUCGUUUUGAUUACAACAUAGCAGGUGGAGCUAACUUCAUUGAGUUGUCUAGUUUAGCAGUUUUUGUUAAUACACCUAUCCAUGCCAUGUAAAAGGAGGAAAAAGCAAGGAUUGACCUAUCCUCUCCUAGCAGGGUGAGGUUUUUCUCUCUAGGGAGCGUUCGGUCUCUUAGACGAGCUUGGUUGGUUUGAUGAGGUUGCAAUGGAGGAGGAUUUAGCUAGAUAAUGGGAAGGCUUUAUCCAAACUUGAUUGCCAAAGAAUCACAACUUGGCAAGUUUUGUUUGUUGGCCCUGACCAUUGUAGAAAGACCAGUCAACCGAGAAGCUUUUAAGUCUUCAAUGGCCAAUAUAUGAAGAUGUCAGAGUUGGUUUAAAUUCUCAGAAGUUGGCAUGAACAAGUUGCUAAUCGAGUUUAACAAAGAGAAGGUUCUUCAGUAAGUUAUUAGUGGCAAAUGUUGGUCCUUUGACAAAUGGCUGCUGUGUCUACAAGUGUUUGAACGCAACAUAUCCAUAAAUGAAGUUCCCUUCAAUAAAGAAGAGUUCUGGGUGCAGGCUCAUAACAUGCCACUUGCAAGCAUGACAUACGAGGUUGGAGUCCAGAUUGGUGAAAAUAUUGGUAGAGUAAUAACUGUCCAGGUUGAUGACAGAGGCAUUGGAUGGGAGAAGUUCUUGAGGAUAAGGGAGGAAGUUAAUAUUGUUACUUCUUUUGGUAAUUA